rnacentral:rRNA from 1 species
AUUGAACGCUGGCGGCAGGCCUAACACAUGCAAGUCGAGCGGAUGAAGGGAGCUUGCUCCUGGAUUCAGCGGCGGACGGGUGAGUAAUGCCUAGGAAUCUGCCUGGUAGUGGGGGAUAACGUCCGGAAACGGGCGCUAAUACCGCAUACGUCCUGAGGGAGAAAGUGGGGGAUCUUCGGACCUCACGCUAUCAGAUGAGCCUAGGUCGGAUUAGCUAGUUGGUGGGUUAAAGGCCUACCAAGGCGACGAUCCGUAACUGGUCUGAGAGGAUGAUCAGUCACCCUGGAACUGAGACACGGUCCAGACUCCUACGGGAGGCAGCAGUGGGGAAUAUUGGACAAUGGGCGAAAGCCUGAUCCAGCCAUGCCGCGUGUGUGAAGAAGGUCUUCGGAUUGUAAAGCACUCUAAGUUGGGAGGAAGGGCAGUAAGUUAAUACCUUGCUGUUGUGACGUUACCAACAGAAUAAGCACCGGCUAACUUCGUG